AACGAGCCUCGAGGCUCGAAUAAUCUCUCCCCAAACUGUCCAUUUUUCUGCACAAUCUGAGCGCGAAUUAGGGCACUUGUUUACCAUAUUACAUGAAUCAGGCUGCACAUAGGACAACAAAGGGUCACCCUAUGAAGAGUAAAAGUCUCCAAAAGCGCCGGAAUAAAAUAUCCGCCAUCAUUAAAUCACGCGUUCCCUCGCGAACGUAAAAUAUCUCCGGUGCAGAAAAUAACUUAAUAAUAAUAAAAUGAAGAUAAUAAAUAAAAAAAGAUAAUAAUAAAUGAAGAUAAUAAAUAAAAUGAAGAAGAGCGUUUCGUUCGGGACCCGCCAGAGGACUCACCAAAAAAGUUGUUCCAGUGGAGUCUAACCUUAAACGUAGCGAUGAUGUCGCAAGGACGGACAAAGUCUGUUUACGUCCGAAUGCAGCCGUCAUCAUCACUGAAUCUCCACAGUAAACAUAGCCGAAAGAUGCUUCUGCAACAAGCACGCGAAUGAGUCCUGCGUCCAGAAGACGAAGCACGAAGCUCGCGGAAAAGAAAAUCGCCGAGAACGAGUCGAAUCAACGCGGAAGCAUCGCUCUCUAAAAAUAUUCACCGAGAAAUGAUCGCUCGACCCGUGAUCACGGCAGAAAAAUCCCGACGCACUCUUCUGACGCAGAAUUUUUCGUUUUCAGGUGGUCCGAUCGGUUUGAGACGCGCGCGAGCGGCGUCGUUUCGAGCGUGGGCGCUUCGAGCGGCGACCGCCUCGAGCGGGGCGCGCUUCGAGCGCGACUCACUAGUGGGGGAGGAGAGUCGCACGCAUCGUCCGCCGUCGCCGCCGUCGCCACCAUCACCGCCGCCAUUGCUGUCGAAUGUACCAAAGCGUUUCUCGAGCGCUCAUCGAAUAAAAGAUCGUAGUACAUACCUGCGAAGGAAAGUUGCAUGCCCCCACCCCCGUGACCCGCCGUGUUGUGCUCCUUAAUGUCGACUAACCAAGAUCUGCGACCACUUUCUCUCGGGCCGCAGUAAUCUCUCUAUUUAAUAUACGUGAAAGAAAUUGCCGUGUCGUUCUCGUGUGAUAUUUCUUGCCGCCGGGUGCGUAGUUAACACAAACACAAAUUUAUGCUUUCAGUUUCCAGAUACGUGAUGAUGGGUAACGCCGCGCAGUACAUCAGUCGAAUGUUCUCCUGUCCGAAUUGCCCGGGCGUGUUUACCAAAAAGAAAGGCCUCAGGGAGCACAUGAUCUACCAGUGCGGUCAGCCACCGAGAUACCAGUGUCCGUAUUGUAACCAUUGCACGAGAUUGAUAUCGAACGUAUACAAACACGUGCGCCGGAGGCAUCGCGGGGAAGCGGUCUGGUGCAUCGAUCUAAGGCGUGAAGAAAAGCCAUAACCGGCGGUCGCUGUGCGACCGUUUACUCGGCGAACGGCUCGUCGCCGCGCACCAGCCGGACCAUAACGCGAGGUUCCCGUGCCCGGGCUGCAGCAGCGUGUUCAACCGGAAGGACAACCUGAAGAAGCACAUGAAGUACGAGUGCGGCCAGGAGCCCAGGUUCAAGUGCCCUUACUGCGGCUACAGGUCGAAGAAGACGUCGAACGUGCGGGCCCACGUGCGCUGCAUUCAUCUGGGGUGCCCCGUGCACGCGAUCGAUCUCUUCAGGGUCGAGCAGGCCGAUCCGCAGGGCUCGUCGGAGUUCUUCGCCGACGCGAAACAAAGCGUCUACGACGGCUAGAAGCGUCGCGAAGCUUGUGGGCGUCGGAUCUCGCGUUUACGCGAACAAGAAACCGUUACGAGAGGUCCGGUGUCAUUUUGUAGCAUGAUCGCGUAUGGCCCGACGGAUCCUACGACGUGUUGCAUCGUUUCCCGUGACCGUUGGACUUUUGUCGAGCCGCGAGAGGAGAGCGGUGACUUUUUGUUUGUUUCUUUUCUUCCGCGGUGUAAUGUUAUGUUUGAUAUAACAUUAUUUAUUACUCGAUGCAACGUUACUUCACUCGAGAUGUGUGGUUCGACUUGAUGCUUCGAACGAUGAGAGGAGUUUUAAUCUUGUCGACGACGAACGUAUACCGCGUGGUACAUGUAAAGGAAGAAGUUGCUUCGAAUGAUCCGAGGAACCCGCCAUUUCCGGAUUGCGAGACAUUUUUGGGACACCCUGUGUGUAUAGCGCAAGCGGAGAGAAAAUUGACGUCCGAAGGAAUUCGGACUUUGACCGAGGGGGUUGAACGGGGGUUGAACGGUGGUUGAUCUCUGAGCGGGCCUGUGUACAGUGACGAAAUAAAACGUAAAAUCCUUCCUAAUCGACGUGAAUAUACAUAUAUAUUUUAUUGUACUUAUAUCGCAUCGUGUUGUAAUUAUAUUGUAUCAUAAUUC